rnacentral:rRNA from 1 species
UGAACCUACGGGGGGCAGCAGGGGGGGAUAUUGGACAAUGGGGGAAACCCUGAUCCAGCGACGCCGCGUGAGUGAAGAAGUAUUUCGGUAUGUAAAGCUCUGUCAGCAGGGAAGAAAGAGAUGACGGUACCUGACCAAGAAGCCCCGGCUAACUACGUGCCAGCAGCCGCGGUAAUACGUAGGGGGCAAGCGUUAUCCGGACUUACUGGGUGUAAAGGGAGCGUAGACGG